rnacentral:RNase_P_RNA from 1 species
CCGGGGGGCCGGGCAGCCGCGUCGCAUCACGGGGAAAUCCUGAUGUGCCGAGGAAAGUCCGGGCUCCACGAAACGAGGAUGGCGGGUAACGCCCGCCGGGCGAGGCGAUGGUGCAAUGCGCACCGCGCCGAAGCUCAGGGACAGUGCCACAGAGAGCAGACCGCCGAUGGUCCGGCAACGGACACAGGCAAGGGUGAAAGGGUGCGGCAAGAGCGCACCGCGCGGCCGGCAACGGUUCGCGGCAUGGUAAACCCCAUCCGGAGCAAGACCGAAUAGGGGCGGCGCGCCGAAGGCUUCGUGCCAAAGGCAGGUCCGUUUCGGACCGUGAUCGCCCGGGUUGGUUGCUGGAACGCCGUGGCGACAUGGCGUCUAGAGGAAUGGCUGCCAUCGUGCGCCGCGUCCGCCGCCGCCCGCAAGGGCACGGCGGAAACGGGCGCGCGAUACAGAACCCGGCUUACAGGCCCCCCGGCAUC